UGUGUUAGUGGAAGCGUCUGGAAAGGCGCGCGAUACAGGGUGACAGCCCCGUACACAAAAAUGCACAUGCUGUGAGCUCGAUGAGUAGGGCGGGACACGUGGUAUCCUGUCUGAAUAUGGGGGGACCAUCCUCCAAGGCUAAAUACUCCUGACUGACCGAUAGUGAACCAGUACCGUGAGGGAAAGGCGAAAAGAACCCCGGCGAGGGGAGUGAAAAAGAACCUGAAACCGUGUACGUACAAGCAGUGGGAGCACAGAGCAAUCUGUGUGACUGCGUACCUUUUGUAUAAUGGGUCAGCGACUUAUAUUCUGUAGCAAGGUUAACCGAAUAGGGGAGCCGAAGGGAAACCGAGUCUUAACUGGGCGUUAAGUUGCAGGGUAUAGACCCGAAACCCGGUGAUCUAGCCAUGGGCAGGUUGAAGGUUGGGUAACACUAACUGGAGGACCGAACCGACUAAUGUUGAAAAAUUAGCGGAUGACUUGUGGCUGGGGGUGAAAGGCCAAUCAAACCGGGAGAUAGCUGGUUCUCCCCGAAAGCUAUUUAGGUAGCGCCUCGUGAAUUCAUCUCCGGGGGUAGAGCACUGUUUCGGCAAGGGGGUCAUCCCGACUUACCAACCCGAUGCAAACUGCGAAUACCGGAGAAUGUUAUCACGGGAGACACACGGCGGGUGCUAACGUCCGUCGUGAAGAGGGAAACAACCCAGACCGCCAGCUAAGGUCCCAAAGUCAUGGUUAAGUGGGAAACGAUGUGGGAAGGCCCAGACAGCCAGGAUGUUGGCUUAGAAGCAGCCAUCAUUUAAAGAAAGCGUAAUAGCUCACUGGUCGAGUCGGCCUGCGCGGAAGAUGUAACGGGGCUAAACCAUGCACCGAAGCUGCGGCAGCGACGCUGAUGCGUUGUUGGGUAGGGGAGCGUUCUGUAAGCCUGUGAAGGUGUGCUGUGAGGCAUGCUGGAGGUAUCAGAAGUGCGAAUGCUGACAUAAGUAACGAUAAAGCGGGUGAAAAGCCCGCUCGCCGGAAGACCAAGGGUUCCUGUCCAACGUUAAUCGGGGCAGGGUGAGUCGACCCCUAAGGCGAGGCCGAAAGGCGUAGUCGAUGGGAAACAGGUUAAUAUUCCUGUACUUGGUGUUACUGCGAAGGGGGGACGGAGAAGGCUAUGUUGGCCGGGCGACGGUUGUCCCGGUUUAAGCGUGUAGGCUGGUUUUCCAGGCAAAUCCGGAAAACUAAGGCUGAGGCGUGAUGACGAGGCACUACGGUGCUGAAGCAACAAAUGCCCUGCUUCCAGGAAAAGCCUCUAAGCAUCAGGUAACAUCAAAUCGUACCCCAAACCGACACAGGUGGUCAGGUAGAGAAUACCAAGGCGCUUGAGAGAACUCGGGUGAAGGAACUAGGCAAAAUGGUGCCGUAACUUCGGGAGAAGGCACGCUGAUAUGUAGGUGAAGUCCCUCGCGGAUGGAGCUGAAAUCAGUCGAAGAUACCAGCUGGCUGCAACUGUUUAUUAAAAACACAGCACUGUGCAAACACGAAAGUGGACGUAUACGGUGUGACGCCUGCCCGGUGCCGGAAGGUUAAUUGAUGGGGUCAGCGCAAGCGAAGCUCUUGAUCGAAGCCCCGGUAAACGGCGGCCGUAACUAUAACGGUCCUAAGGUAGCGAAAUUCCUUGUCGGGUAAGUUCCGACCUGCACGAAUGGCGUAAUGAUGGCCAGGCUGUCUCCACCCGAGACUCAGUGA
rnacentral:rRNA from 1 species